CGCAUAUUAAUCAAUCAGAUCAAGCCAUAAAGUGAAUAACGACAGACUUCUGCCUGAAGUCAAUAAAUAGACAGGAGCCCGACGGGUCCAAAGAGUUAUGGCUCUGGGCUGGGUUCACCUCAGCCCCACAAACACACAGGACACAUGCAGCGCUUGUGUUCUGGCCCGCUCGCUCCUCUGGGAACCGGCUCCUCAGUGUGGGUCUGGACCGGGUCUGGAUCAGAAGCACCCCCCACUGAGGUCUGGACCGGGUCUGGACCAGAAGCACCCCCCACUGAGGCCUGGACAGGGUCUGGACCAGAAGCACCCCCACUGAGGUCUGGACAGGGUCUGGACCAGAAGCACC
ensembl:lncRNA